AGAAUGAACGCUGGCGGCGUGCUUAACACAUGCAAGUCGCACGAGGCGGGGGGGGCAACCCCUCCAGUCGAGUGGCGGACGGGUGAGUAACACGUGGGUAACCUGCCCGGAUGUGGGGAAUACCUCGGGGAAACUCGAGCUAAUACCGCAUGACAUCUUCGGGACGAAAGUCCUGACGAUACAAAGGCGGGUCGACAAGACUCUCGCGUCCGUUCCGGAGUCGGGCCCGCCGCCGUAUUACGCUUAGGUUGGACGAGGUAACGGCUCAACCGAGGCGACGAGUCGGUAGCCGGCUGAGAGGGUGAGUCCGGCCACGACCGGACUGAGACGACGGUCCGACUCCGUACGGGAGC
rnacentral:rRNA from 1 species